rnacentral:rRNA from 1 species
GAUGAACGCUGGCGGCGUGCCUAAUACAUGCAAGUCGAGCGAACGGACGAGAAGCUUGCUUUUCUGAUGUUAGCGGCGGACGGGUGAGUAACACGUGGAUAACCUACCUAUAAGACUGGGAUAACUUCGGGAAACCGGAGCUAAUACCGGAUAAUAUUUUGAACCGCAUGGUUCAAAAGUGAAAGACGGUCUUGCUGUCACUUAUAGAUGGAUCCGCGCUGCAUUAGCUAGUUGGUAAGGUAACGGCUUACCAAGGCAACGAUGCAUAGCCGACCUGAGAGGGUGAUCGGCCACACUGGAACUGAGACACGGUCCAGACUCCUACGGGAGGCAGCAGUAGGGAAUCUUCCGCAAUGGGCGAAAGCCUGACGGAGCAACGCCGCGUGAGUGAUGAAGGUCUUCGGAUCGUAAAACUCUGUUAUUAGGGAAGAACAUAUGUGUAAGUAACUGUGCACAUCUUGACGGUACCUAAUCAGAAAGCCACGGCUAUCUACGUGCCAGCAGCCGCGGUAAUACGUAGGUGGCAAGCGUUAUCCGGAAUUAUUGGGCGUAAAGCGCGCGUAGGCGGUUUUUUAAGUCUGAUGUGAAAGCCCACGGCUCAACCGUGGAGGGUCAUUGGAAACUGGAAAACUUGAGUGCAGAAGAGGAAAGUGGAAUUCCAUGUGUAGCGGUGAAAUGCGCAGAGAUGUGGAGGAACACCAGUGGCGAAGGCGACUUUCUGGUCUGUAACUGACGCUGAUGUGCGAAAGCGUGGGGAUCAAACAGGAUUAGAUACCCUGGUAGUCCACGCCGUAAACGAUGAGUGCUAAGUGUUAGGGGGUUUCCGCCCCUUAGUGCUGCAGCUAACGCAUUAAGCACUCCGCCUGGGGAGUACGACCGCAAGGUUGAAACUCAAAGGAAUUGACGGGGGCCCGCACAAGCGGUGGAGCAUGUGGUUUAAUUCGAAGCAACGCGAAGAACCUUACCAAAUCUUGACAUCCUUUGACAACUCUAGAGAUAGAGCCUUCCCCUUCGGGGGACAAAGUGACAGGUGGUGCAUGGUUGUCGUCAGCUCGUGUCGUGAGAUGUUGGGUUAAGUCCCGCAACGAGCGCAACCCUUAAGCUUAGUUGCCAUCAUUAAGUUGGGCACUCUAAGUUGACUGCCGGUGACAAACCGGAGGAAGGUGGGGAUGACGUCAAAUCAUCAUGCCCCUUAUGAUUUGGGCUACACACGUGCUACAAUGGACAAUACAAAGGGCAGCGAAACCGCGAGGUCAAGCAAAUCCCAUAAAGUUGUUCUCAGUUCGGAUUGUAGUCUGCAACUCGACUACAUGAAGCUGGAAUCGCUAGUAAUCGUAGAUCAGCAUGCUACGGUGAAUACGUUCCCGGGUCU